rnacentral:tRNA from 1 species
AAAGGAUUAUUCUGAUAGGAUAAAUUAAGUAAAUUUAUAUUACCUUUAUUA